rnacentral:rRNA from 1 species
GAUGAACGCUGGCGGCGUGCCUAAUACAUGCAAGUCGAGCGAACGGACGAGAAGCUUGCUUCUCUGAUGUUAGCGGCGGACGGGUGAGUAACACGUGGAUAACCUACCUAUAAGACUGGGAUAACUUCGGGAAACCGGAGCUAAUACCGGAUAAUAUUUUGAACCGCAUGGUUCAAAAGUGAAAGACGGUCUUGCUGUCACUUAUAGAUGGAUCCGCGCUGCAUUAGCUAGUUGGUAAGGUAACGGCUUACCAAGGCAACGAUGCAUAGCCGACCUGAGAGGGUGAUCGGCCACACUGGAACUGAGACACGGUCCAGACUCCUACGGGAGGCAGCAGUAGGGAAUCUUCCGCACUGGGCGAAAGCCUGACGGAGCAACGCCGCGUGAGUGAUGAAGGUCUUCGGAUCGUAAAACUCUGUUAUUAGGGAAGAACAUAUGUGUAAGUAACUGUGCACAUCUUGACGGUACCUAAGCAGAAAGCCACGGCUAACUACGU